GAGUCCUAUAUAUUGGCCAAAUUUUUGCCAUCUUGCAUGCUUGAUAUCCACAAAUAUGACAUCGAACUAACAACCAGACCAUGGCCAUGCUUUCUUGGAAUCACCGUAGUACUUGUCAAUUGAUCCCACAUGUUGUAAAUAAUUUUCCAAAAAUUUGUACGUACUAUCUUCUAAGAGACAUCAAUAUACGAGGUCCCCCUGCUGUAAAAACCUGUGUAACAAAAAGAUUAUUGUGCUAAAAAUAGCAACAAAAAUCAUUAUUAUGUCUUUGUUCUUUACCCACGUACGUUGAAGGAGAGCCCUAGACCGUGUCAUCCUGCCUGCCUCUGAGAUUACCAGCACCCAGCAGCAUGUAUAUUCCUGAAAAAACAUCGACUUGGAGAAUGAUAGAUGUUCAAGAAAAGAAAAGAAAAAAGACAGAGAAGAAGAGAAAGGAAUUAAAGAUGACCACAUGAGAAACAAAAAAACAGACAAACAUUGUUUGCAGGGCUUCAUUUAUGGAACCACUUGAACACGAUGUUUUCCUCCUAGGGCACAGAAAAUAAGUAGGUGAUCUUCUGUUUUUCCAGAGGACAUGCAGUCGCGCUAUAUAUAUAUAUAUAUAAAACUUUGAAUUCUAUUAAUCUAACCUAGUCCUUCUUAU
rnacentral:lncRNA from 1 species